rnacentral:tRNA from 1 species
UUAAUUGAAACCAAAAAAAGAGGCAAAUUAUUGUUAAUAAUUUUAUUGAAUUAAAUAUUCCAAUUAAU